AGGCGCUCACUGGGCCGCGGGCUAGCCAAUGGGGAACGGGCACGGAGCACGCGGCGUGGGGGAGGGCUAGGACCGGCAUGCACCGCGCUUCGCCGCGACAGCGCGAGGCCGCGCCUGCGUAGUGCGGCCCGGGCGCACGUGCUUCCUUGCGGUGACGAGGGCGGAGCCAAUCAGCGCCGCAGUCUCGCGCGCUCGAGGUGAGGCCGCGCGAAGGUGGCGGCCGGCCCCGGCCCGCGGGGAGGGAAGCCGAUCCGCUCCCGCCCUUCCUCCCGGGGCCCGUUUCCAGCGGCGCCUGGCCGUGCGAGCGGGGUGGCGGACAGACGAGGCGGGCAGGUGGCAGACAGCAUAGCUGCUUCCUCACCCCUAGAGAGAAGCCCCUUUCAGUAAGACAUGGCAGGAGCUGCAGGUGCAGAUCGAGUUCCUGCAAGGCCCCAAGAGGCACUGGUCACUUGUGACGCUGGGCUGUCUUCUUCCUUUUUCUCUUGAAGAAGCAGCAGCACCUGGAGUAUAAAAAUAUGUAACAAGUCAAUGGAAUGGAUCAAACCACACAACUGGCUCCCACCACCCGACUUCCAAGAACUGGGCUUCUUCCCUUCACCUAGGGAGACAUGCAGAGGGAUUUCAACAUGCCCAGUGCUAUGGAUAAAGCAGACCUACCAACACCUCCAAGAAGAAAAAGUUUAUCCAAUGCCAGCAGCAUCCUAUUCUAGCCUGCACUGGGAGGGGCAUCAGCAUGGUUCUCAGACAGUAGCUAUUUAUGGCCAGCUGCUAGGAUCACAAGAGCCAGGAGAUCCUAGGAAGACAGGUCAGCUGGGCUGUUUUAGAACCUGAAAUCUACAGUUACUGAAAAAGGUCGGCAACUGUUAUUUACAAUAACUUGCUAGUGCCCAGAGGUCCCUAGUCAGCAUUAGGGGAUUGCUCUCCUGGGCACUAUGCAAAUGCAGGUCUUUGCCUCCAGGGGCUUAAUUGGGGGAAAAAAGGAACAAAGGUCUCCAGGUUGCCAGACUACACACUGGGACUGAUGGAGACAAGUGAGAGACACCCAAGGACCCAGCUAUUCUGUUUCCUUUGUCCAAGACUGAUGCUGCUGGAAUGGUCUGAGCCCAGCCUGAUGAGUGUGCACACCACAGGACAUGAGCAAUUUAAAAACACAAGUUAAGAUGAAGAGGGCUUUGUUAGGGGCCAGCUUCCUUUACUGAACCCUUAAUGGAGAACAAGCAACCAAUGCUUCAGUUUCAAGACCAAUCAUUUAGUCCAUGUCUGCAUACCUGGUUUACUCCCUGAGCAUGGGCACAGGGAGUAAGGGAGGCAGAACACCAUGGAUGUUGGAAACAGAUGUGGUAAGAAAUGGACACAAUUUCACAGCUGAUCCUUGAAAGAUUAAUUUCAGUAGAUCUCGUAAGUAAAACCUCCAUCACCCAGGCUUUCAGCUCCUGCUGGCUCCUCAUGAAAUCACAUGGCAUUUCAAGGCCUGCCUGUAUUUCUCUGUCUUCGGGUUCUACUGUCAGUAACUUCUUGCGUGGAAAAAAAAAAAUCUUGCUUCUUUGCAAGUGCAUCUGCUUCCCUGCUCAUCUCCUCCCUAUGACACCACAACUAUUUCCAUGGCAACCAAGUUGUUAUAGGAUUAUGGUUUUUUAGGGAGUGAAGAAGAGAAUAAGCAGCAUAAGAGCAGAUGGAGGUGUGAGGGUUAUUGUAGGUAAGUGCCCCUAGCCACAAUCCAUCAGGAGCAAAGACAUUCAGAAGCUGCAUGAUAUCUCCAGACUAGAUUUCCAUUGGGUGACUGGUGGCCCAAUGCAGUCAUUUAACAUAUACCUGUGCACUGAAUAGCAAACACACACUAGCUUUGUUUCUCCACCCUCCACCUCUCUUCAGGUCUUAGCUAUGAAAAUGAGGAAUGACCAACACCACUAUGUCCCUCAGGUGAGGGAUGUGACAGGUGCCAAACUGGCAGCCCUGAACAUAUAUAACCUUCAUGUAUGCAGAGCAGAUGCAGCUAUGGCAAUAGAAAGGGUAAGCUACCAUCAUCCCUUUCCAGAGCCCUGGCCAGAUGGAAUGGUCUCGUGGGGUGAAGGGCUGUUCAUUGUCCAGGGUUCAUCCUUGAAGUCUACUCCAGAAAGCAAGGCCCAGUUCUGGAGUUGGGGCUGAAGAAUGUGCAUCACGAUCACUCUUCAAGUAAAUAGAUCAUUCACAUAGGCCCCCUUGAAGAGCUACCAGAUGGUAGUUGCCCAGAGUCCCUAGUAUCCCAGGCUGGUGGAAAGCAUGAUCUACGUAUCUAGCUGUGAAAGCCAGAAGAGAUCUCUGCGAUUAUCUGGUGGAAUCUACAGAGCACAUGCCAAAGAAAUGUACCCAGAUAUCUGUAUGCAUAUCCCCAUCCCCUCUCCUCCCCCUAUUUCACUCUGCAUCCACAGUAAUGACCUUACUUCAUGGCUCAGGCACCAGAAAAUGAAAGGGGAACUGUCAUGGGAAGAAAUGGGAGCAGUCUGCAGCAGGGAUGACUGAAUGUGUGUAUCCCACCCACUAGGGAUAGAAAGUGGGCCCCAAGCAGUAGGUGCAUUUAUUGCCCCAAAUGUGGAGGGCUUAACAUCUCUGGCUAUGCUUUCCAACCAUUUCUUUCCCUGGCAACUCCUUCACUCAGAUAGGGGGUUCCUCAGCUUGUUUGGAAGGGUUCAGGAAAGGAAGUCCUGAGAGUUCAUUAACACAGGCAGAGGCAGAAACAAAAUAAAAGAAUCAGGCAGGCUGACAGUUACAGAACGUGACCCUCGAGCAUGCAGACAAUGUCCAAGAGAACAGCCCCAGACUAUGACAUACAGAAAAGCCAGAGAUGCCAGAGAUACUGGAGGCAAGUGCCAAUGGAGAGGAGGGCUGAGGAGGACCAGUCCGCCAACAAGCGGGAACAUCCUUCACCACACAUGGGGCCUUCAGGGAGUUUUAAACUUCUUCUCUACAGCUGGACUGACAUGUAGAUAGGACUCAAAGCACAACACCCAACAGAUAUGCUGAGCUUCACUGCUUAGGGUCUCCCUGGGCACGAGGGGUUGGCACAGCACACUGAGUAAACUCACAAAGCAGCUGCUCUGCUCCCACCCCCCAUCCCCGUUAGACUUGCAUUGUGGCCUUUCCCUUCCCACCUGCCUGGUGCAGGAACUUUCUGGAAGGCAACCACUAGCUCUCACCCAUCCAGUGGAGCAAUGGGCUCUAGCCCGGCCUCUCUCAUGCCGCUAUGAGGGAGGUCCUAAUGACAUAUAAGAGAUACCUAGGACUGUUCGUUCCCCUAAUGGGGAGGUCUGCAGAGGGGAAGACAGCCUUCAUAGGAGGGUGCCAAUGCCUGCUGAGGACAAGCACCCUGCUGCCAGGAGACUUGGGUGGUUUGCAGAGCUUUCCAUUCCUGAGCCAUCUGUUGUGAGGAAUUCCCACAAGAGGUUUUUCAGGCUUGGUCCCACCUCUGCCCAACUCCUUCAAACAUCAUUUGUUCAAGAACUGAGAGUGUUCAGUGAAUAAAGUAAAAGCCAUAGAGAAAAGGGGGGGGUGGGGGGAUCAAGUUUUCGAUGGGUCAGUCCAGUUGCUUAGGCCAGCAUGGCCUCCUGUUGAAGAGUCCCUCCCACCGUCCUACAAGUGUUCCCCACCCUUGCUUUAAGCAGUAAUUGCACUGGUUUGGCACUGAGUUUUGUUUGAUUUGUGUGGCUAAAAGGUUUAGGGUGACUGCAUUUUGCCAAUCUCAGUCUAGUCUGGUCCGCUCCCCCUCCCAUGUGGACUGGAGAGAGGGACUCACCACAAGUUGAGCAUUUUCAGGCAGCUACAGAGUGUGUAGAGAGAAAAAACACAGAAAGGAAGAAAGAGCAAUUAGUUCACAGAGGUGGGAUGAAAGCAUGUCACUGAGCCAUGCAAGCAUGCAGUGCAGGUUGGCAGAUGCGCCAUGCCCACUCAUCCUCUCUAGCCUUUAUACCACCUAGGGGCCCCCAUAGCUGGGUUGCAGAAGAGGAUCACACUGGAUCCUGCCAGGUCAAUGCUGGGAGGGAGUACAUUUCUUCUGCUAUCCUGAGGCCUGGGGACAAGCCCACCAGGACAGAGGGAAUAAAGCAUCAGGGACUUCUGUAGCUGGAAAUAGGGAGGGUGCCUGGGCUAGUAGGAAGGUGACACCAGAGCUGGAAAAGGAUCCAAACCACAGUCUGAGGACAGUCAGACAAGAGGGCUGGAUGAGAGGUACAGUGUGUACAGGACUGUUCCCAUAGAACACUGCUCUUGAUCACAGCUGCUGAGGGUUUGUUCACUUACUACUUUGGCACAAACCACCAGCUCCCCUGCCUUGUCCACGGGUGCUGGGAAGAGAGACGUCCGCCGUCUUCCACACAAUGCAUCAUCUCAAAAAUCAGAGAGCCAUGCAACUUCGCUUAACCCUUACCCUCCCUGCCAACUACAAAGCAGUAGCAUCAGGCCAGCUGGGAGCAUACUUCAAGUCCAAAAGACCUCCAACCUCCUCACAUGCCCAGAUAACUGAGAGGUGGAUGACACAUUUGGACUUGUGACAACAAAUAAUAUUUGCCAGGAAAGAUAAUGAGAUACCUUAUGUAGCCUGACUCAGUAGGGUAACUGUUAGCAUAUCAGCACAAGGCACCAAACUGCAACAACCAUCCACCUUCCCCCACCAAAAAUACACAGCUCCAAAACAUACACUGGUUGGUACUGAAAGAAAGGAAGUAGGCACUUCACAUCUUCAUGGGGAUGUGGUAGGGCAGUGUUAUCCCUCCCAAAGAAACUGCCUGUGCCAACACAGAACAAAAGGAUUUUGUGCAACUGCUGAACCUCAGAGCCCUAGUCACAGAUCAGGACCACACUGCUCAGUGCUGUACUAAUGAAACAAAGGCAGUCCUGAAAGAGACAGCCAACUCCUCCUUAUGUCUGAUUGUUUGCCACAUCCAGGGGAAUAAGUUGCAGUCACUGUUCUUUAAUGGUGGUAGGACUCAGGUUACACAUGCUGGCAAGCAGCGCAGCAGUUGCUCCAAGACGGAAGAGUUUGCCGAGACAGUUUCAACAGAAAAUGCUGUCCACACGAAGGAAAUCUGGCCAACUCAUUAGGCUACACUUGAUUACUAUCCCCUUCCAGGAAAUCCCCAUCUUCCAUUGAAAAGAAAACAAAUUUGCUCCCAAGUCUCUUCCUCACAAUAUGACUGUGGCUCAAGGAUUGGACUGUUAAGUCACCUUAAGACCCAUCAACGAGCCAUAGUAGAGAUCAUCCCUUAAUUGAGGGAUUGCCAACAACUGUAGCUUACUAUCCACAGGGAUUCAUGGCAAGAUGGUCAAUGGACAACCAAGCCACUGUUCCUCAGGAGAGAAAGAUAGAAAAAGUUUCUCUGCUGGAGCCAACUUGACAGACAUCUACAGAAGCUGUCCUGACAUGGGAAAGUGCCAGGCCCACAUUCCUUCAAGCCUUCUCUAGCACUACAACUCUACCUCCCACCCCAACUGGUCAAACGUGAGGCCUGUCAAGCAACAAGUUCAUUGAGCCUUGCUGUAGCUUAGAUCACUGAGUAAUUUCCAAAUGCAGAAAAUGGAGGCAGCCUCAGAGCCCAUUCCUCCUGUGCUGGGGAAGUUGAUUUGUUAGGCAAUAACUACACAACCCAAGCAACCCACUAGGACUAAAAACAGACAGUACUCAUAGGCUGACCCUGGGCUUUGAUUUGCAUCAAAACAGGCCAUGGGGUAGUUGUUUAUAUAUGCAGUGUGAAAAGCAAUUAACUCCAAUUAGCUUCACACAGGGAGAGGGAGCGUUAGCUGGGUACUUCACAGCUACUUGGGGUUGGACAGUGGGCUUGUACACCUGUAGAAUUCCAGGAUAAAAGCCUUCAUCUCAGGAAAUUUGAAACCUGUUUUUAGCCUAGUAUUCAAAGCUCUUCUUGAUGCAGGAGAGAGACAGCAGGCCCCACAUUCCACCUGUUAAAGGGGGAUCAUGCAAAGUGUCCUCUUGUGGUGCUGGAUGGCAGCACACAUACAAAAGCAGCAGAAAUGGCCGACAGCGAUUGCCCUCAAUUUCAUCAGAAGCUCCAGAUGACACUUCCUGCUACCGCAACUGUCAGCUCAAAGUGAGAUCUCCAGUUCCCACAGGAAGAAGGGCUAUUUACAAUUUCUCCCUCAAUCAGCUCCUAAUGGACUAGGCUA